UGCAACGUCUUCAGAUUUUUAUAGCAGAUGGAGAAACAACGAUGAGGAGGCUGCAAGGGGAGAAUGUCAUGGUUCUCCGGACCGACAAACGUGCUCACUACAUAUACAUCGAUGCCUAGUGGAUCGAUGUUCUGGACCAAGAACUCCAAAAGUGAAAGCAUCCCCGCUUGAGUCCGCUGUCUUUCUCAAUGCACAUCGACCUGAGAUUCUCAACAUGUUCAUUUCACCACGCAUGACCUUUAUUCCAGCAUUUUAUCAUGCUUUAAUAAACCACCAGUUUUAUUUAAAAA